rnacentral:lncRNA from 1 species
AACUGGGAGAGCCUUGGCAAUACGUGGUCUGGGGCUGUGUGCUUCAUUUUAGGAGUGGACAUCAAUGGCCAGCUGUUGAGUGCCUGCUGUGUGUCAGGCACUGGAUUAGGCGUUCGGUGCACCCCUUGAGUAAUUAAAACUAAAACAACAGCAAAAUAAUUAAAAUUCUGUGAGUGGGUUUGGGUUGGCCAUGCCAUUCUGCACUGAGGAAACUGAGUCGACACUCCCGAAUUAGGUAUUUACCUGUCCUUUCCCUGCAAGCCUACAGGCAAGCUGAGAGAAGCUUAAGGAGACAGACGGGCAGUCGACCGGGACGGUGCGGGCAGAAGCCGCAGGCCAGCCUCGCCCCGCCCACUCCUCCAGCAGAACAAAUGCGCCGGGCUUGGUGCCUGAAGUGCCGCAACAGUUGCAGACUCCUAAUGAAGAUUAAGAAAUGUAUCUUCAUAUACAUUGCAUGUUAGUAUAUAACUGCAGUUUGCUUUAACAGGUUUGUAAUGACAUCUGAUAUUACACUUUCAAAAUGCUUUUUUACUUUUCCUUCUCUCUCAGUGAUUAGAAAAACCUCAUAAGCUGAACAGUGCUAAUGUAAUAUCUCUUUUGAAAAACCAGCUGUUUUAAUUGUUUCGGCAAGUCCCCAUACACUGCAAAUAAAAAAUGAAACCUUUACUUUUGUAUUUUAAAAGCAAGCACACUGAAAACAAUUCCUAUUUGCCCAUGCUAAUAACCUUUGAGAUCUGUAACACAAAUAUACAGGUUUCUAUGGUGUAUAUAUUGAUGAUUUUGAAAUUCUUUUAAGAUGUUCUUUUUAAGUAUGCAGUGGGAGGUGGGUUAAAGUUACAUUAUCAAACAAACAUUAAAUACAUUUAAUAAUGGCUAAGACAUUAAUAAUCCCAGCUCUCCUGCUUAUUAACUGUAUGACUUUUGGCAAUUUUUUUUUUCGAGGCCCAGAUUACUGAUAUAUAAUAUGAAAUAUCUAUCUUGUUGCGAGGAAGGGGGAGUCUGUGAGUAAUGGCCUGGGCCACAGC